UUUUUAAAAAAGUAUCUGUACCUGAAAUAUUAAUUUAUUAAACAGAAUAAACUUUAAUUGUAACAGUAAUUAAUAGAUUAAUUUUAGUUAUAUAUUUUUGUAAAGUAGUCUUAGUCUUUUCUGACAUUGUAGCCUAUCUCUUAAAAGUUGAAAAAUGGUUGAAAAAUGGUUCUGUUGUUUUAAAAAGCAGUUUAGCCUAGUAUACUAAAACAUACAACCAAAUUCCUAAAUGCUUUUUACCCUGAACCAGAUUAAUUUAUCAUUAUCUGGAACAUGGGAGAUAACUCACAUUGCAAAAACUUGCUGCUUAAGGUAAGCAGUAGUUUGUUGAAUUAUUUCUCUUUAUUUGGAGAGGGGAGGCAAGGGUUCAUCUGGAAUUAAUUUAUUCUUCAAGAUAAGAUUCUUGUUUGUAUUUGUGAUUUAAGAAAAGUAGGUUGAUUAAAUGAUUAUUGUAAGGGUAAUUUCCAGUUGCAAAUAUUUGAUGCCCUAUCAGAAAAAAGGAAUAUGAAAGAUAUACAUGAUAUUAAGAUCUCAAUAUAUAGCUUUUGCUGUCUUUUUUUUCAAGAUUUAACAAAACUACAACAGAUAAUUUCAUGUUAGUAAAAUUGUUGACAUGGCCCUUAAUACAAUAUUGGAAGAAGUUUGAUACAAAAUUUCCUUGACUUUAAAAAGUUUCUUAAAUUAAUGAGGAAUUUAUGGUUCUAAUGCAAGUUUGUACUAGUAAAUUUCGACCUAAAUUUUUGCCUUUACUUCAUCCUUUUGUCUUUCAGAGUACAAUGUGAGGUAACACUUGCAUGUUUUGUUAUUUUUCACGCAGUAAUUAAGUAGGCUGUCACUUACAGACUUGUCAAAUAUAAAGCUGUAAUUUAUCAGAAUCCACUUCUGUUAUCUAAAAAUGUUGUUGAUGUAGAAACAAUUAAUUAGCAUGUAUAAGGAAAAUCUUGUUAAAUGUAAUUUUCAUGAUUAUGUAAUUUGAUACUGUCACAAAUCCUCAAGACUAUUACGGUGUUGUAAUUAUUUUUGAAAUGACCUUGACGUCACUACAAAUGUUUAGGCAUAAUGGGUAUUAUAUUAGAAAUUCCCCUUUUUGUCUAAAAUGUUCCAAAUUUGCCAUGAAUUAUAAGGGAAUUUUAAUUCCGUAAAUGAAUUAUCUAAUUACAAAUCUAUUUGAUCUUAAUUUAUUAUUGUCCACCCUUUUCAACAACAAAAAUACCAGAGCAAUAUUUUGCCGCAAUCAUUCAACAUAAAAUAGAGCUUAAUUGUUUCUUGUUAGUUCAGCUUCAGGGUAUUCAUCUGUUUCCGGCUGUCUAUAUAAUCUUUGAUGGUGUUAGGACAUAUCAAUCGUGGCAGAUUAACAAUAUUGAUAAAAAAAAUCAUAUCUUAUGUGUGUCAGCUGUGGUAUGUAUACCAUUUACAAAGAAAAAUUGGAUUUAAACUAAUUAAAUUUGAUAUGGAUUGACUAUUUUGAAGAUUUGUCAAAUUGUCAGCCGAUGAUUUUUUAUAUACAAAGAAAUCAUCUAGAUGUGUUGUGUUUCUUUGUCGUACAUCAAAAAGAUCUUUGUCCUAUUGAACAGAUAAACCUUUUUAAUGGGAGAAAUAUAGAUAAUCUUUAGGAGAGAUCAUUAUCCCAUGUGGUGCAAUACAUUCUAAAUGAAUAAAUCCUGCCUUUCAAAUCCUUUCUCCCAAGUAGAAAAUUGCAUGCAAAAAAAUAGUUUCCUGAAUAAGAUAAAGAAAAGUAAAUGAAAAUUGAAUCUUGUAUAAGAGACUAUUACAUGUAAUUUAGAAGAUUGAUUUUUAAGAUUAUUUGCUUUAACUAAUCUUUUAACACAUUUCAAUGCUGGGAAAGACAUUUUUAGGUCAUCUGUCAGUUAGCACCAUAUCAGUUUGGUUAAUGCCUUCAGACAUGAAUUGUCAUUGGGUAUGCAGAUACGAAGACAAAAAAAUAUAGUUAAAGUCAUCUUUCUUAGGUUUAGAUACUAGGUAUUUGUCAAAACUGUCAAACUUUUACUCGGGUAUGUUCAAUGAUCAAUUAAAUAUCUAUGUAAUAAUAUUAAGUACCGGAAAAUGGCCAUAUUUCCUAUCUAAUUAAAACUUAAAAUGGGAUUAUUUAUAAGAGGACCUUUGGUAAUGGGCUUGGCAGUUAAUGGACAUCUACCUGUAUAGAUCAUGUCAAGUCUACUACCACUAGGAUACCCAAAAAUGUCACAAAGCAGUCAAUCAAGUAACAUGUCAUUUCUGUAAACAAACUUAUUAUUUUUGCGAGCAAUUCAAUUUGGUGACUUGAAAAGUAAGGUGAAUAUGUCUAUCUUGAUCUUCUUUUGCAUAGAUACAUCAAAGUUAGAAAUUAAAUCUCAACCGAUUGGCUCGGAAAAAAAAAGGUUGAAAUGGUAUUUGAAAAACCUAGUUGAUUUACAGUAUAAGAUGAGCAAAGGGAGAAAACUGCAAACUAGAUAAACAAAGAUUAAGAUGGACUAAGGGAGAUAACUUUUUAAGAAAUUAUGUCAUCCACUUGUUUUUUUUUUCAUUUGACCUUGUUUUACAACUGUAUUUACAUAAGAACAAAAUAUUAAGAAAAAAUCCAUAUCCAGGAACUGUCACAAGUGUUAAUUUCAUGAUUUUUUUCUGGAAAACGAGGAAUUUGAAAAAAAAAUUGGUGACAAUAAAAUGCUUUGUCAUUGAAUCAAUUGAAUUUGAAUAUAUAUAUUUGGGGAAAACUAGUGCAAAGUAAUAUUUAAAUAGAUUUUCUGCCAACACAUGCAAUGCAUGGAUAUAGAAUACUGAUACAUUGAUAAUAUUAUAUAAUUUAUGAAAAAGAUAUGCUAAUUCAGUUGUCAACAUCUGUUAUUUACAUAUGAUAUUUAUGAUAUUGAUGAAGAGAAUAUGAAUUAUUAGAAAUUUAUGUAAAAAAUAUAAAAAAAAAAUUUUUAUCUGAUGGCAAAUGUCACAUUUUAUUAUUAACUACUUUUUCAACUUAAAAGUACUUGACAGGAUCUAAUUAAAUUUUGUUAUUCUGCAUUGUCUACAGAUUUUAAACAAAUGGGGAAAUAUUGUCCUUUGUGGGGGGUCUGUAAAGGGAACUCUUGUUAACUCUCACUAAUAAUUCAUCUGUGAAAUUGUCAAUUAGGAUAAGAAUAUGCCUCAACUGGCAUUAAACCCUCAAAACUAUUCAUAUAUUCAUUUGAUUUUUGUUUGCUCUAUGUACAGUGGAAACCAUUUGACUAGAGAAAACAGAUCUAAUUAUCUUAUUGAAUGCCCAUGUUCUUAUAAAUACUUCUCCUUGGCUUGCGAUAAAAAGGAUAUAACUUUAAAACUGCCACUAUCCUUACUUCUAAGUGUAGAUUUUUGAAAUUCCGUUUACCCAACUUUAACUCCCCUUUUCCAUAAAGAGCACUGGCCGAAAGGUUUGUAUAAUUCUGCAUACUGUAUGAAUCUUGUCGAACUGUUAAAUUGAUUUUUUAUAGGAAAAUAAACAGAUAUGUAUUUAUUUAAUGGAAUGAAAUUUACUUGCAUAAGAAAUUGACGUUUUAUAUGUUGAAAAUGGCAAAUAUUUAUUACAUUUAAUAUCUAGUUAUUGUGGCAUAGUCAGAAUUCGCAUUUAUACAUGUAUAUUUGAGUUGGCUUUAAAUGAAUGAAAUCCUGUUUGACUUCUACAAUUAUGUACAUAUUUUUGUGAAAACCAUUACAUUUUACAUAUCAUUUAUCUACUUUAUUAUAUUCAGAAACUAUGUGUUUACUGUACUAUUGAAUACUAAAUGUAAUAUGUUAACACUUGAGUGCUUUAUUUUAUAGUAUUCAUAAGUAAACAGUUUGAAAAUGUUUCUGAAAAUUUCAUUUUUCAUUCUCUGAUGAUCAGACUGGAAUGAUUUACUUAAAACACAAGUAUCAUACAUACAUAUAUCUCAUUUUUGUAUGUGCAAUGAGUUUAUAAAUAACAAUUUUGGCGGAGAAAUGACAUUUAUGUAGAGUUCUCUCUGUUUAUGCUCUUUCUGAAAAUUUAAAAACACUUAAAAAAUUUUGGGAAAAAAAUUGUGUUUUUUUUUAUUCUUUGUCAGUUAUUAUGACUGAUUUUACACUUCUUGUCAAAAAACAUAUUUAAAUCCUCAGUGAUAAGAUUAUCUUCAAUCUACAAGCAUGUAGUAAUGACAUUUUUAUCUACAAGGAAAUUUAUGUAUUUGCAUAAUAUAUAAAAUGAAACAAUGUUUCCAUAUGAUAGAAAAUAACUUAAAUAAUUAAUAUUCUUAAAUCUUUCCAGUCUGAUGUGUUCUCUUUUGACUUUAUAUAUUUGUAUUUACAUGUUUUGAUAAAUCCAUAUCCUAUCAACAAUAUUGUUAAAAUAAAAA
rnacentral:lncRNA from 1 species